rnacentral:tRNA from 1 species
GAGGGCGUAGCUCAGCCGGCAGAGCAGCGGACUUUUAAUCCGUUGGUCGAGGGUUCGAAUCCCUCCGCCCUCACCC